rnacentral:rRNA from 1 species
GACGAACGCUGGCGGCGUGCCUAAUACAUGCAAGUUGAGCGCUGAAGGUUGGUACUUGUACCAACUGGAUGAGCAGCGAACGGGUGAGUAACGCGUGGGGAAUCUGCCUUUGAGCGGGGGACAACAUUUGGAAACGAAUGCUAAUACCGCAUAAAAACUUUAAACACAAGUUUUAAGUUUGAAAGACGCAAUUGCAUCACUCAAAGAUGAUCCCGCGUUGUAUUAGCUAGUUGGUGAGGUAAAGGCUCACCAAGGCGAUGAUACAUAGCCGACCUGAGAGGGUGAUCGGCCAAAUUGGGACUGAGACACGGCCCAAAACCCCACGGGAGGCAGCAGUAGGGAAUCUUCGGGAAUGGACGAAAGUCUGACCGAGCAACGCCGCGUGAGUGAAGAAGGUUUUCGGAUCGUAAAACUCUGUUGGUAGAGAAGAACGUUGGUGAGAGUGGAAAGCGCAUAAAGUGACGGUAACUAACCAGAAAGGGACGGCUAACUACGUG